CCCUUAGAUGUCCUGGGCCGUACGCGCGCUACACUGAUGCAUUCAACGAGUAUUUCCUUGGCCGAGAGGCCUGGGCAAUCUUUUAAACCUGCAUCGUGAUAGGGAUAGAUUAUUGCAAUUAUUAAUCUUGAACGAGGAAUUCCUAGUAAACGCAAAUCAUCAAUUUGCAUUGAUUACGUCCCUGCCCUUUGUACACACCGCCCGUCGCACCUACCGAUUGAAUGGUCCGGUGAAAUCUCGGGAUUGUGGCCAGUUCACUUUAUUGGGAGUUGGCUGCGAGAACUUGCUUAAACCUUAUCAUUUAGAGGAAGGUGAAGUCGUAACA
rnacentral:rRNA from 1 species